rnacentral:lncRNA from 1 species
UGGAUGAAGAGAGAGCUGUGAUGUCUGCAGUUGUAAUUCCUGCAACAGGGGAUCCUAAUGCAGUGUUGCUUGGUGCCUUGUGAACUCCAGCACUGGCUAUUUUCAUCUUUAAGCCACAGUUAAUCCAUGACCUUAGUGCUUUUGUCUCCGGGUCUGAAUUAUCAUGGCAAUGCCGAAUAAGUAUUCCUAUGGGGAAAGCAAAAAUGCU